rnacentral:rRNA from 1 species
GUGCCAGCAGCCGCGGUAAUACGGAGGAUGCAAGCGUUAUCCGGAAUGAUUGGGCGUAAAGCGUCCGCAGGUGGCGAUGUAAGUCUGCUGUUAAAGAGUCUAGCUCAACUAGAUAAGAGCAGUGGAAACUACAUAGCUAGAGUACGUUCGGGGCAGAGGGAAUUCCUGGUGUAGCGGUGAAAUGCGUAGAGAUCAGGAAGAACACCAGUGGCGAAGGCGCUCUGCUAGGCCGUAACUGACACUGAGGGACGAAAGCUAGGGGAGCGAAUGGGAUUAGAUACCCCCGUAGUCC